AGAAGCUUGCUUCUCUUGAGAGCGGCGGACGGGUGAGUAAAGCCUAGGAAUCUGCCUGGUAGUGGGGGAUAACGUUCGGAAACGGACGCUAAUACCGCAUACGUCCUACGGGAGAAAGCAGGGGACCUUCGGGCCUUGCGCUAUCAGAUGAGCCUAGGUCGGAUUAGCUAGUUGGUGAGGUAAUGGCUCACCAAGGCGACGAUCCGUAACUGGUCUGAGAGGAUGAUCAGUCACACUGGAACUGAGACACGGUCCAGACUCCUACGGGAGGCAGCAGUGGGGAAUAUUGGACAAUGGGCGAAAGCCUGAUCCAGCCAUGCCGCGUGUGUGAAGAAGGUCUUCGGAUUGUAAAGCACUUUAAGUUGGGAGGAAGGGCAUUAACCUAAUACGUUAGUGUUUUGACGUUACCGACAGAAUAAGCACCGGCUAACUCUGUGCCAGCAGCCGCGGUAAUACAGA
rnacentral:rRNA from 1 species